CGCCUGCCGGCGACCGGCGCACGGGUGAGUAACACGUAUGCGACCUGCCCCCCGCAGGGGGAUAACCGGGAGAAAUCCCGACUAAUACCGCGUAACGCCGCGGACCUGCAUGGGUCUGCGGCCAAAGGAAGCGAUUCCGGCGGGGGAUGGGCAUGCGGCGCAUUAGCUAGUCGGCGGGGUAACGGCCCACCGAGGCGACGAUGCGUAGGGGUUCUGAGAGGAAGGUCCCCCACACUGGUACUGAGACACGGUCCAAACUCCUACGGGAGGCAGCAG
rnacentral:rRNA from 1 species